rnacentral:rRNA from 1 species
AGAGUUUGAUCCUGGCUCAGGACGAACGCUGGCGGCGUGCCUAAUACAUGCAAGUAGAACGCUGAAAUAAGAGCUUGCUCUUAUGGAUGAGUUGCGAACGGGUGAGUAACACGUGGGGAACCUACCUUCUAGCGGGGGAUAACACAUAGAAAUGUGUGCUAAUACCGCAUAAUAGUAUUUGAUGCAUAUCAGAUACUUGAAAGGCGCAAUUGCGUCACUAGAAGAUGGCCCCGCGGUGCAUUAGCUAGUUGGUGAGGUAACGGCUCACCAAGGCAAUGAUGCAUAGCCGACCUGAGAGGGUGAUCGGCCACACUGGGACUGAGACACGGCCCAGACUCCUACGGGAGGCAGCAGUAGGGAAUCUUCGGCAAUGGACGCAAGUCUGACCGAGCAACGCCGCGUGAGUGAAGAAGGUUUUCGGAUCGUAAAACUCUGUUGUAAGAGAAGAACGUUGAUGAGAGUGGAAAGUUCAUCAAGUGACGGUAUCUUACCAGAAAGCCACGGCUAACUACGUGCCAGCAGCCGCGGUAAUACGUAGGUGGCAAGCGUUGUCCGGAUUUAUUGGGCGUAAAGCGAGCGCAGGCGGUUGAUUAAGUCUGAUGUGAAAGCCCCCGGCUCAACCGGGGAGGGUCAUUGGAAACUGGUCAACUUGAGUGCAGAAGAGGAGAGUGGAAUUCCAUGUGUAGCGGUGAAAUGCGUAGAUAUAUGGAGGAACACCAGUGGCGAAGGCGGCUCUCUGGUCUGUAACUGACGCUGAGGCUCGAAAGCGUGGGGAGCGAACAGGAUUAGAUACCCUGGUAGUCCACGCCGUAACGAUGAGUGCUAAGUGUUGGAGAGUUUCCGCCCUUCAGUGCUGCAGCUAACGCAUUAAGCACUCCGCCUGGGGAGUACGACCGCAAGGUGAAACUCAAGGAUUGACGG